rnacentral:rRNA from 1 species
UACGUAGGGUGCGAGCGUAAUCGGAAUUACUGGGCGUAAAGCGUGCGCAGGCGGUUUGUAAGCCAGAUGUGAAAUCCCCGGGCUUAACCUGGGAAUGGCAUUUGGGACUGCAAGGCUUGAGUGCGGCAGAGGAGACUGGAAUUCCUGGUGUAGCAGUGAAAUGCGUAGAUAUCAGGAGGAACACCGAUGGCGAAGGCAGGUCUCUGGGCUGACACUGACGCUCAUGCACGAAAGCGUGGGGAGCAACAGG